rnacentral:rRNA from 1 species
GGGUUGUGAGGUUAAGCGACUAAGCGUACACGGUGGAUGCCCUGGCAGUCAGAGGCGAUGAAGGGCGUGCUAAUCUGCGAUAAGCGCCGGUAAGGUGAUAUGAACCGUUAUAACCGGCGAUACCCGAAUGGGGAAACCCAGUGUGACUCGUCACACUAUCAUUAACUGAAUCCAUAGGUUAAUGAGGCGAACCGGGGGAACUGAAACAUCUAAGUACCCCGAGGAAAAGAAAUCAACCGAGAUUCCCCCAGUAGCGGCGAGCGAACGGGGAGGAGCCCAGAGCCUGAAUCAGCAUGUGUGUUAGUGGAAGCGUCUGGAAAGGCGCGCGAUACAGGGUGACAGCCCCGUACACAAAAGCGCAUGUGCUGUGAGCUCGAUGAGUAGGGCGGGACACGUGGUAUCCUGUCUGAAUAUGGGGGGACCAUCCUCCAAGGCUAAAUACUCCUGACUGACCGAUAGUGAACCAGUACCGUGAGGGAAAGGCGAAAAGAACCCCGGCGAGGGGAGUGAAAAAGAACCUGAAACCGUGUACGUACAAGCAGUGGGAGCACAGGUUUACCUGUGUGACUGCGUACCUUUUGUAUAAUGGGUCAGCGACUUAUAUUCUGUAGCAAGGUUAACCGAAUAGGGGAGCCGGAGGGAAACCGAGUCUUAACCGGGCGUUAAGUUGCAGGGUAUAGACCCGAAACC